rnacentral:rRNA from 1 species
GUUGAACGCUGGCGGCAGGCUUAACACAUGCAAGUCGAGCGGAGAUGAGGUGCUUGCACCUUAUCUUAGCGGCGGACGGGUGAGUAAUGCUUAGGAAUCUGCCUAUUAGUGGGGGACAACAUUCCGAAAGGAAUGCUAAUACCGCAUACGUCCUACGGGAGAAAGCAGGGGAUCUUCGGACCUGGCGCUAAUAGAUGAGCCUAAGUCGGAUUAGCUAGUUGGUGGGGUAAAGGCCUACCAAGGCGACGAUCUGUAGCGGGUCUGAGAGGAUGAUCCGCCACACUGGGACUGAGACACGGCCCAGACUCCUACGGGGGGCAGCAGUGGGGAAUAUUGGACAAUGGGGGGAACCCUGAUCCAGCCAUGCCGCGUGUGUGAAGAAGGCCUUAUGGUUGUAAAGCACUUUAAGCGAGGAGGAGGCUACUGAGACUAAUACUCUUGGAUAGUGGACGUUACUCGCAGAAUAAGCACCGGCUAACUCUGUGCCAGCCGCCGCCGUAAAAC